rnacentral:lncRNA from 1 species
AGUAUUGCAGGAGCAGGAAGCCUAGCAACUACUUUUGCCAAACUUCUGUUUUAAUAGCCUUGUUUGGAUUCAGUCAACGAGAGGCAUUCAAGUGAAAUUUGGGAGAUAGAAGAGAAGCAGAAGCCAUUAUUGUUUCUCCAACAUCAAAGAUCCCUUCCUUUUGGGAAAGCCAGCCAUCGUGGAUGCAAGAGCACUUGACGUUAGACCUAGGUGAAGAGAACCUGAGGGGUCCUACCAAAAGCCAGCACUAACAUGCCAUCCAUGUGAAGUCUUGCAAGAAAAUGAAGUAAUGUUAUUGGAAACUGAAGAAAAGGGGAUCCUUAUUACACUGUAUAGUGGCAGAAAGUUCAACAACAUUGUUGCCUGAAGUAACUGAAAGGUAGAAAAUGUGUCUAAUGAACUGGGUGAUCUAGCUAGAGAGAUUUCCAAGCAAAGGUUUCUUCUUGUUGCUUACAGCAAAAUGUAAGAGGAGAGAGAGAAACUAAAGGAAGAACUGUUAAACAACAAGGAGACAGAAUUUGCUGGUUUUGAAAAUUCUCAGCCUCUCCAAAUGGCAAACAAUGCUGAAGUUAAGAUAUAGCUUCUGAGCAAAAAUCAAAUCCAGGGCACUACCAGUAAAACACGGUCCAAAGAAAAAGCCAAGGGUGUGGCUAUAAAAUCUUUCUAGUCUCAAAAAGAUUUAAGGUUGCGCAUUA